UGACAAGAAAUAACAAUACGGGGCAUAUGUCUUGUAAUUGGAAUGAUGGCGACUUAAACCCUCGCCAGAGUAACAAUUGGAGGGCAAGUCUGGUGCCAGCAGCCGCGGUAAUUCCAGCUCCAAUAGCGUAUAUUAAACUUGUUGCAGUUAAAAAGCUCGUAGUUGAACUUUUGCGUUGUCCUUUUCCUGCUUUGUGCGGGUUAUUGACUUCGCUUUUUCUUUUUACUUUGAGAAAAUUAGAGUGUUUAUCGCAGACUUUUGUCUUGAAUACUUCAGCAUGGAAUAAUAGAGUAGGACUUUGGUUCUAUUUUGUUGGUUUUGGAA
rnacentral:rRNA from 1 species